rnacentral:tRNA from 1 species
GCCGAGGUAGCAGAGCGGACUAAUGCGGCAGGCUCGAGACCUGUUUUCCCUUGCGGGAUGCAUGGGUUCGAAUCCCAUCCUCGGCG